GAUGAACGCUGGCGGCGUGCUUAACACAUGCAAGUCGAACGGAAAGGCUCCUGCUUGCAGGGGUACUCGAGUGGCGAACGGGUGAGUAACACGUGGGUGAUCUGCCCUGCACUUCGGGAUAAGCCUGGGAAACUGGGUCUAAUACCGGAUAGGACGAUGGUUUGGAUGCCAUUGUGGAAAGUUUUUUCGGUGUGGGAUGAGCUCGCGGCCUAUCAGCUUGUUGGUGGGGUAAUGGCCUACCAAGGCGUCGACGGGUAGCCGGCCUGAGAGGGUGUACGGCCACAUUGGGACUGAGAUACGGCCCAGACUCCUACGGGAGGCAGCAGUGGGGAAUAUUACACAAUGGACGCAAGCCUGAUGCAGCGACGCCGCGUGGGGGAUGACGGCCUUCGGGUUGUAAACUACUGUCGCUAGGGACGAAGCGCAAGUGACGGUACCUGGAGAAAAAGCACCGGCUAACUACGUG
rnacentral:rRNA from 1 species